rnacentral:rRNA from 1 species
UAGGGAGUCGGACCUGCCCAGUGAAAUUUUUAACGGCCGCGGUACUCUGACCGUGCAAAGGUAGCAUAAUCAUUUGCCUUGUAAUUGAAGGCUAGUAUGAAUGGUUUGACAAGAAUAUAACUGUCUCUUUAUAAUUUUAUAGAACUUUAUUUUAAGGUGAAGAAGCCUUAAUUAAAUUAAAAGACAAGAAGACCCUAUCGAGCUUUAGAGAAAUUUAUAGAGAUUAAUUAAUAAGUGAUUUAAAAAAUUGGCUAUUAAAUACUUUGGUUGGGGCGACUGAGGAACAAAUAAAGCUUCCUUUAGCAAUAGUGCACACACAAGUAUUGAUCCAGAAUUUUUGAUUAAAGAAAUUAGUUACCGUAGGGAUAACAGCAUUAUCUUUUUUGAGAGUUCUUAUCGAAAAAAAGGUUUGUGACCUCGAUGUUGGACCAGAAUAUCCUAAAGAUGCAGAAGUCUUUAAGGGUUGGUCUGUUCGACCAUU